rnacentral:rRNA from 1 species
UCGCCUAUAUGAAGUUGGAAUUGCUAGUAAUCGCGGAUCAGCAUGCCGCGGUGAAUACGUUCCCGGGCCUUGUACACACCGCCCGUCACACCAUGAGAGCCGGUAAUACCCGAAGUCAGUAGUCCAACCUCGUGAGGACGCUGCCGAAGGUAGGAUUGGCGACUGGGGUGAAGUCGUAACAAGGUAAC